rnacentral:rRNA from 1 species
UCUUUUCCUUUUUUUCCCUCAGCCGCGGUAAUACGGAGGAUCCGAGCGUUAUCCGGAUUUAUUGGGUUUAAAGGGAGCGUAGGCGGAUUGUUAAGUCAGUUGUGAAAGUUUGCGGCUCAACCGUAAAAUUGCAGUUGAUACUGGCAGUCUUGAGUGCAGUAGAGGUGGGCGGAAUUCGUGGUGUAGCGGUGAAAUGCUUAGAUAUCACGAAGAACUCCGAUUGCGAAGGCAGCUCACUGGAGUGUAACUGACGCUGAUGCUCGAAAGUGUGGGUAUCAAACAGG